GUGCUCUAGAAAGCAGCCAUGACUGUGAAUGGAGAGAAUUUUAACUUCAUAUCCCAAUAAUGGAGCCCCACAUCAGCCACCCAGCUAGGCAAGUGUCUAUGCAUCAGGCAAGACCAAGCUUUACCAACAAGGCUGUGUGGCAGCAAGAUGGCACAGGAGGCUACAAGGAUGUAAUAAUCUCUUCCCACCUGACUUCAGCAGAUGGAGUCUCCUGGGGUUCUUAAACUGUUGCUUGGAGGAGCCCUAAGAAAAGGGAUUCUGGACCACCUGGCUGGUGUGUGCUUGAAUGAUUAUUGAACAUAGAACACUGCAGUUGAUGGACAGUGGUGUUGACUGCAAAGUGGUGAGGAACCCAGUAGCCCACCAGGUGCCCCUUGCAGUUCUGAUGCUCUGAUGGAGCAUCUUUCCCUCUUCAAUAGGUGCUUGGUGACUCCCAAAGGGCUCCCGGUGAGUUUGGCUAAAUAGGAUACAGUUCUUAAGUGUCAGAGGAAGUGCAGUAUUAUUUUGUAUUGGCCUACUUUAAUUUUAUGGCAAUUCUGAGGUUACUAGGGUCUAGAGGCCCAUAAUAUCUGUCUCUUGUUUGAUCUGAUUGACCAGUGGGUUCAGGAGCUGCUGGCCUGAUGGAUCUACUAGCAAUUAACUCUUUGGUCUUUCACCUGGUGAUCAGAGGUCAUUGAUGAUGAUUGGCCAUGACAUUUCCUUUUGAAAUCCUCAUAAGUUUUACUCCACCCUCUUGCCUUUUUCAAGGGCUCCUCAACAGACUUUUCUACUCCUCAGUGACAACUAACAUGGCUCACAGUACUACUUUUAGCAUUGAUUUCUGAGGUUUUGGGGGUCACAGAUCCCUUUGAGAAUCUGGAACUCCUUCAUAAGAGGAAAAGCACCCCUCCAGAUAUGCAGAGGCGCAUAAUUCCAUUGUACAGUGAGGAGGUAUAAAGAGCACAAAAAUAAUCUCACCAAUGAACUAAUUCCCACCAGCCUUUCUCUGAGUUGAUUUUCUGACUUGGGAGGACUCAGCUGAGAGAAGAUGGCACGACUCUUCAGACACAUGCAGGAAAGCACAUCUGCAUCUGCAUUCCAAGAUUUAAAAGUAGUGUGGAGCCGCCUGACCUACCUGGAGCUCACGGAUUGGAUGCUUGCUGCCUGAGGACCUUGCUGGUGUCAGUCUGAGUCCCCAGUGCACUGCCCGUGCCCCUCUCCGCACCCCCCAACCCCGAGCCCAGCUCUGUGCCUGACGCAUGGUGGAAACCCAAAGUCUGCUGAAUAAAUAAAACAACUCAGAGUCCGUUGACCUUAGUUCCUGUUUGUUGACUGUGCCACUUUCAGCGUUUCAUGGAAACUGAAUCUCAGUCCCACCAUCUGUAAAAUGGGAAUGAUAAUACUGACUCCAUAUUUAUUUCACAGUAUUUGAGCGACUUCACUUUCAUGCACUGGAGAAGGAAAUGGCAACCCACUCCAGUAUUCUUGCCUGGAGAAUCCCAGGGACAGGGGAGCCUGGUGGGUUGCCGUCUAUGGGGUCGCACGGAGUCGGACACAACUGAAGCAACUUAGCAGCAGUAGCAGCAGCAU
ensembl:lncRNA